rnacentral:snRNA from 1 species
UGGGGGCGCAACGCCCUCG